AUAACCCAGAAGUUCCAGGGGUUGCAGAGUGCGGCAGAAUGCGGUGCGCUCCAGGCGGAUGUCUACCGGGGACUGAAAGCGGCCAGCACAGGCUGGGGACACCUGGGGCCAGAUUCCUGGCUUAGAGCCAAGCACGGUGGCGCACACACCUGAAAUCCCAGAACUCGGAGGAAGAAGAAGGUAAAGGGCAGAACUAGUUCAAGGCCAAUCCGAUCUACACAAUAAGACCUUAUCUCAUCCUCCGCCCCCAGAGCAAACCAAAGUUCCUCCACCUGUCUUUUCCCACACCGCAAAUCAUAGGCCUCCUGCCAUCAUGUCAGGCUUGCAAGACAAGUGGCUUUAUCUGCGGAACCAUCUUGCUAACCCAAGGAAGGAAGCCUUUCUUAACCAACUCUCCGCCCCCU
ensembl:antisense Gm12454 predicted gene 12454